rnacentral:piRNA from 1 species
UCCGGUGUCUGGAAAAGCACUUUACAGA